rnacentral:RNase_P_RNA from 1 species
CGAGCAAGCAAGGAAACGGCCGAAGGUUUGAUACCUUUGGAGGAAAGUCCGGGCUCCACAGGGCAGGAUAGCUGCUAACGGCAGCCGAGGGCGACCUCAGGGCUAGUGCAACAGAAAAGAACCGCUCUUUUCAAGAGCAAGGGUGAAAAGGCGAGGUAAGAGCUCACCAGAGUGCAGGCGACUGCACUGCUGUGUAAACCCUAUCCGGAGCAACACCGACCAGGGCGCGCGCCAGCGCAGGCUUGCCCGGCCCAUGCCCUAGCAGGUGGCUUGAGGCAUAUGGCAACAUAUGUCCCAGAUAGAUGGCUGUUUUCGACAGAACCCGGCUUACAGGCCUGCCGGCUCU